GGCAGUAUUUAGGAGGUCUGCAGACUCCUUCCCUGACUGCGUCACAGGCUGUCAGGCAGAUGUGCUCAGUCCUCCAGGCAAGGGGCCACUCCCACCGCAGCAGGGAAAGGCCUACUCUGCUGGAGGCCUUGCUUUGUGCAUCUCUCUGAACCCCACUUCCAGGUGGCUGCUGUGUUAGCCUCUGUACUGUUUCCAGGAGUGAGAUGCCGUGGAAAACAUGGAGCUCUUUCCAGUCUACCCAAGUUGAUUCUGGUUUGGGAAGUAUCCAGCCUGAAAUGAUGACACUGAAAGAAUCUCCUCUUCCUGAAGCCAACAGCUUCUCCCCAGAAGAACUGCCGCCUCGGCAGACUCUGCGCUAAAGCUGAGUCUUGAGCAAGGAAGUCUUUCUAAAAGAGUCGGCUGUUACUCCUCAGUUUUGCUGCAUACAAACUCUUACAACAGAUAAGAUCAGAAUCUUCUGAACUUGUUUUUGUUGUUGUUGCUGUUGUUUGUUUUUUAAAUUAUUUAAUUAUUUAUUUUUAA